AUUUAAAUAGUUUAACAGAAAAUAUUGAAUUGUGAAUUCAAAGAUGUUUAUUAACUUUAAAUU
rnacentral:tRNA from 3 species